CUAUUGCCAUUUACGCUAUGUUGUUGUCUUCCAUUCGUUGCAGAAGAAACAUUGCAAUUGCGAGUUGGCGGUUGUCAGUUGUCGGCAAAUUGUCGACAGUAGCAAUAAAAAUAAUAUAUUAAAAGCUACUAUUUUUUAACAAAAGGAAAAAGUGUUUGAAGUGUUCUAACUAUUCUUUAAAAAUAAAGAAAAAUCAAAUUUUGUGUAGUGUCAAUUUAGCGUAAAGGUUGCUUGGCUACGCAGUGCAAGGAUAACAAGUAACGAAAGCGUGUGAAAAAAGUUUUUUUUUGAAUAGUCCACUGGCUGCAACGAAAUGAAGUUGAAAGGCAUUUAGCCAAAAAAGUACUGCAGUGAAAAGAAAACUCAUGAAAAUACAUAUAAACUAGUGCUUUUCCACGUAUCUAGUCAGAGGCUGCAGUUACGCGGCGACAUCCUGCAAGCAGCUGUCGUGCCAGUGUCUACAAAUACGUGAAGAAGCAAAAAAUAAAAAAAAUUAAGUGCAGUUUUUCAACAGCGAAAUUGAUUGAUAUUAUUAGAAAAGUACAUUUUCUGCGGUCUUCAA